UAAGUCACGGACGAGGAGUCGUCACCAACAAAAUGGCGGAAAACGUGGAGAGUGUAGAUGCUCGAACCGCUGAAAUUCUUCAGGCCGUAGCUCGUCAUGUCAACUGCCUCUCCGAAAACAACCGUGCUACCAAAAAGCGGGCACUUGAAAGCAUCCGCAGAGAAACUUUGGGCAAGAAGCCGGCUCUGGACCCUGCUGUACUGCAGCGUGUGUUUGAAAGCUUACUGAAACAGCUUUUGAAAUGCUUCUCAGACUGCGUUGAAAAAUGUCGUGAGCUGGCAGUCGAUGUUGUGUCAGAUUUUCUCGACGCUGUACCAACGCCAGAGGGGCCAUUGCCGUAUCUGAUGCCAACAGUUGUGCAAAGGUUAGGGAACCAAGAAAUAGUGGAAACGUCAGAGGAACUUAGGUUGAGCCUUGUUAAUUUACUUGUGAAGCUCACCCAGUUAACAAAAAAGAAACUUGCUGCUUACCUUGAUGACUUGAUAAAAAUUCUGCAACGAACUGUUGUGGAUCCAUUUCCAGACGUCCGCAAAGAGAGUUGCAGGUGCAUCAGUCUUGUGGCUCGUGCCAUUCCUGAGCAUUUUCACAUGCAGUCUGAGAGUCUCAUUGCACCCCUGCUGCAUUGCAUUAGCCACCAACAUGCAAAAGUUCGCACACUGUGUAUCCUGACUAUCGGCGAUGUUUUGCAAUUCGGCAGCCACAAGCCCAUGGACCAAGUCAUAUCGCACCUUGCGCAGAGGCUGUUUGACCAGUCGCCACAGGUGCGAGUAGCUGUGACUAAUGUUGUGGGUGGAUGGCUAUUGGACUUUGUGGACCGUUACUCCUAUCAUCAUAAGCUGAUUCCACUCUUACUUACCAGCCAGACUGAUGAGAUGCCAGAUAUACAAGAGAGGGCUUUCAAACUUUGGGAUGAGGUUGGAACCAAAUACGCCAAGGAGAAUGAGGAGGAACUGAAAGACCAGAUGGACUUUGAAAGGAUUAUAGAGUUACCUCCUGGAGAAACGAGAAGACCUAACCUGGGCUGCCGUAUGCUGAUCUUCCGCAACCUGUCAAAGAUCCUGCCAGGCCUUUUGCACGAUCUGACCGACUGGACCGCGUCCAAUCGCAUCAUGUCGGCCAAGCUGUUACGGGUGCUGCUGCUGAAUGCGGAGGACCACACCACACAGCACAUGGAGAAACUCCUGUCGGGAAUGUACAAGGCCUGUGGCGAUGAAGAGAAAGAAGUAGUGGCAAAGAUGCUCCAGUCGGCAGAGCUUGUAGGCUUCUUUGUGGACCCACAGAUCUACUGGAAGUUGAUGUCGCCCUCUGUCCAGUCCGCUCAGAGCCCCGGCGUGCUGAUGACUUUGGCUGCGUUGAUGCGUGGCUCAAGGCAGGAGGCCCUUCACCCACAGCUGCAGAGUGUGUGCGACGUGUUGGCCGAUCCCGAAGUCUGUCGUAGUGAACAGAGCUCCUACCAGAUCCAACUUGUGUCGUGUGUUGAAGCCAUCAUGUCCACAGGCAGGGAGCAGUGCUCAGAAGUCAGUCUGCCAUUGUUUACUGUACUCGUCACUGUGUUGGCGUUGGCAAGGGAUGACGCACUGAAGACAAAAACCAGGGAAGUUAUAGCAUCUCUUGCCUCGACGCAAGGCAUGGAGGACAGCAGCGCCCUCUACAGGCAGCACAGCCGCCAGUUCCUUGCCAUGCUGAAGGGAAACUACGAGCAGUGGACAAAUUUUUCAGUGGAGCGGCCAAUCUUUGACACUUUGCUGAGCGAAUCUGGUGUGUUGGUAUGUGAGCUCCUGGAUGACGUCUUCCCCGUCCUGCAGGCCAACCUCAAGCCAGAUAAAGACCCCGAGCUGCGGCUCAAGUUCUUCUCCCUGCUCUCGCGGCUGGUGAUGAGAGCGGGUGAGUUGGCCGAGGCCAGAGCAAUAUUUGGCGACUUCUCGCCGGCUGUCGUCCGGGAGAUGGUCAUCCCCAACUGCGUGUGGCACGGUGGCCGGACGGCGGCGGCCAUUCGGACCACAGCCAUCUCGUGCCUCUGGGCACUGCUGCAGAGCGGCCUGCUGACCGCUGAACAGAUCAACAGCGUCAUGUCGGACCUCCAAACCCAGCUGACCUCCCUCUUGGAGGAUGACAGCCGCUCAACCCGCCUCAUCACCUGCCGCGUCUUCCGCAAGAUCCUAGCCCUCUGCGGCUCCACCUUUGACCCUGACCGCCUGCACACGAUGUACAUGGAGCUCCUGAAGCGCAUGGACGACAGCAGUGACGAGAUCCGCCUGGCCGUGGCCAAGACCUUUGAGACGUUCUUCCAGUGCUUCCCCGCCGACUAUGAUAAGGUUCUGUACAGGGCGCACCUGGAGACGUUGUAUAGAGGCCUGUUGGUGCAUAUGGACGACCCAGAUCCUAAUAUACAGCAGUCAGUCCUAGAUUUGUUGAAGCAGGCCGCCCCUCUGCACCCUCAGCUUUUGCAAGAGGAGGUGGAAAUGGUCCGACACAAGCAUCGCAGUUUUGUGUUCUGUGACGAGCUCCUCCAAUACAUCAAAACUCUCAGUUGAUGAAUGGAACCUGAAGGACACUGGAGAGUUGGUCAUCAGGAGAGCAACCAGUUGGGCAUAAACCAAGAACUGUUUGGCUGGACCGCUGGAUCUACGCUUUAUGCAGAGUGGAUCAAGUCUUUGGUGAUUGGACAUCAGGUGAACUUGUCUGUCUCCUCUUCAUGAGGACAGGAAUUGUUCUGCUUGCAUGAGGUGAAACUCCGUCACUGGACUUUCAAGUUCCUCCAGUCUCCAAGCAGGAGUUGUGGUUGCGGGACUGUUUGCUGUGAAACUGUAAUAGGCCCAGGCCUUUUGAACCUGUGUGGUUGUUGUGGAGACUUCAAAAAGAAAGUGAACUGAGCUAGCUACAUGUAGUCUCGCCACAAGUACGGAUUUGGGACUUGAUUGUACCAAGUGAAAUCAAGAACUCCUAUCCUUAAAUAUAAGAGGCCUUAAAGCUUUGUGUAGGCUACCUGUAUACCGGUAUUGUUUGAUUUGUGAAAGAUAAAAAAUUGGAAUUUUCUAUGUCAGAUUGUUGGCAUAAAUAAGUACGUAGGCCUACUACAGAUGACACUUGUAGCGGACGGCCCGUCCCAGUUUGCCCUUAAGCGAACUUUUGCGGUUGAAAUUUUCCGCAACACUAAGUGUUAGGAAAUCUUUGCAGGCACUGUCCUUUGGUGUAUUAUUGUAUCCUGCAAAAACACAUCUUGUCGGCAUUUUAGCUAUUCAGAACCGAAUUCUAAAGAGUUUUUGGUGAGAAAUACUGUGUGAUUCAUAGGUCGGUCCACAUGUAAAGCAGCACGGUCGCGAGGUCAGUGGUCCCAGCGUUACAUGAUCGGGUUCUUUACGGGACGUCAUAGACCACGUGACCAUUUAUUCACCAUUUACGGUGGUCAAAAGUGGGGGCGUGAAAAUGCGCAAAAACAAUGUCAAAAUCAGCAGAACCGAUAGAAACAAAUGAGAAAGCGUUGUAUUCUUUUUUAUAUUUAGUACAGGUUUAUUAAACACUAUAAUGGUCUUGAAUAACAGGGAACCUUUAAAGUUUUUUGCUGUCCUCAUUGAUGUUCCAGAUUUUGAUGGUGAUUUUCCCUGUACAAGAUUGUUUCGACUAAAGUUUUGCAGUUCAGCGUUUUAAAGUAAGUGUGGUUCAUCCAUCUGUCUGAUCCAACGUGUGUUGAUCCCCCUCCCAUGUGGGCCACGAGGCUUACAUUUCAAGGCGACCUUGCCAGGACCUCAUAAUAAUUUUUUGGGGGGGCCAGCUCCGUUUCUCUCGGCAAUAAACAACGGGGGACACAUUUUAUUCUGGUGCCAAAUAGAUACAUGUACACAAUAGUAGGGUCAUUUUGAGAGCCAUAGGCUGAGAAUUGGUAUUUUCUUGUGCUGGGUCUUAGCAGAGUGCAUUUUUUUUUAAUUUGAAAUUUUGUGUAAAACAUGGCGGACAGUGGUGACAUUUUGCAGUUUCGUUCUGGGUUGUGCACUUCCUCUUUCCAGUGAAGAACCGUUGUCUUUUUUGAAAGAGUCAAUUACUCGAGGCCCAAUUAAAGAAGGUUAACCGCCUAGUCGAUGUCUCCUGUUAGGAGUGGCGAGAAACAACGAAUCUUCUAUGUGAGUUUCAUUGUGAGGUUGGUGAAGCGACCCUCCCUGUUUCAGGAGAUAUUACUGUCCCUAUUGAUGGCAAGGAAGUGGUGCUGCGAAUAUACCUUUUGAACCCCACUGGGAACUUUAAGAGUCGGGUCUUAGUGAAGGACAUUGUGGAGGAGCAAGGUGCAUCCAAACCCCAGAAAGGAGAGCCUUCCAAGAGUUCCUUGAGCAAAGCCAUGUCUUUGUGUGCAGUAAUAGUGGGCGGAAGCUACGUCCUUUCUCCGCUCUUAAGACUCCUGCCAAGGACGAGGACAGCUUUGACACAUGGAUUGAACUUGUUCAGGGGCAACUGGAAGAGGAAUCUGAGGAUUCUGAGAAGAGAUGACAUUUGAGAGGUUCUCCGCCCCCCUGCUGCCAGUAUCAUCACUGACCUCGUUGAGAGCACCCUCAAGCUUCGGAAUACCUUGCUUUUCUGGAGCUAGCAUUCGGAAGUACAGAGUCACCUCAGGAGCUGAGCCUUUUGUUUCACUCUACACAUCAAUGUCGUGGUUGAAAGAUCUGAAGAAGAGCCCUCCUACCUACCUGACAUUGCUUCAGUUGGUGAGGAGAGAGGAAGCAGAACAGCAGGCUAAGAUGAGCUGAAGAGGAGAAGGGGAUGUGAGUGUUGUCGAGGCAAACCCUAAGCAGGCCAGGAGUCAGGUGCAAGCUGCCAAGAAACCAGUCAAGCGUAGACAACAUGAUGCACGUUCAAGAGUCUGUUACCGAUGUGGUGAAGACGGCCACUACAAGACAAAGUGCGACAAACCUGAGAACCUACGGAGGGUAAAUGAUCAACUUAUUGCCUUCCUAUAGGGAAAUGCCAAGGGGCGACUGGAGGAGGCCAACCAGAAGCUCAAGCCAAAAAUUAAGGCCCUGUGUUGAUUACCACAUUGGAACUGAUAUAUCAGUAGGCAGGUCACACCAUUUUUAAACAAAUAGCUUCAACAGUGAAUUAUACAUUAUAUGAAAGAGCUUGAUGAGAGAAACAGAGAAGUAAAAAAAAUUUAAAAGCGACACUGGGUUCUCGAGUUAUCGUCAAAAAAUAUAUCCAAUUAGCAUGGCGUAUUAAGCCAUUUUCUUGAAAAAGCCAAUAAACACACAUUUUCCAGUUUUCCCUUAAAAAAACAGCAUGAAUUACUAUGUUAAGUAAAUUCUUUAGUGGUAAAGACAUAGAUAAUGAGAAACAAAUUGGGUUGCUAAGGUUUUCCAUUUUUCCACAUGGAUUUGACAAAUAUUGCGAUUUCUUCAGAUUUCUGCAAUGAGAAAGCAAAAGAAGGUGAAAAAAGACCAAGUACAGCUAAAUUAGUAUGCAAAGUAAUAUAAAAUCUUAGUGCAAUUACAUACAAGCAUGAAACUUUAAACACAUAAUGUUCCAGUAUAGACCUUUAUUCCUGAUAAAUAUGUAAAUAAUUUUAGACUGAUUUAUGUAAAUUAGCGUCAUUCAGUUGUAUUUUUUAAACCCAAAAUGCCUAAUUAAAUGUGCGUUUUCACUGUAAAUCCUUAACAGAAUGACCAAGAAGGAUGAAAUUUUGUUCAAAUAAUGUUUCUAUAUGGACGUUUGUUCCAAAAUAAAAUUUACAUUAUAUCAGACAACAA
rnacentral:misc_RNA from 1 species